rnacentral:rRNA from 1 species
GAUGAACGCUGACAGAAUGCUUAACACAUGCAAGUCAACUGUGGCGGACGGGUGAGUAACGCGUAAAGAACUUGCCUCACGGAUAGGGACAACAUUUGGAAACGAAUGCUAAUACCUGACACUGUAGGAGAGCUUUGCGUCCCAUUAGCUAGUGGGGGAGGUAACGGCUCACCAAGGCGAUGAUGGGUAGCCGGCCUGGGAGGGUGAUCGGCCACAAGGUGAUAGGGGAACCGGCCUUACUGAUACUGGGGCAAGCAGUGGAGAAUAGACGACAAAGGACCAAAGACUGAGCAAGGAAUUCUGUGUGUACGAUGAAGUUUUAGGAAUGUAAAGUGACUUUAGUUGCUAAGCGGUAUCAACCGAAGAAGUGACGGCUAACUACGUGCCAGCAGCCGCGGUAAUAC